AUUUCUCGUUAGGGGUGUUGCGCUGCAGCUGAGAAUCCGCAUGUCGGAUAACCCUUGGAACCUGAUCGGGAUUAUGCCUGCGAAGGGAAACGACUUGUUGAACAU
rnacentral:ncRNA from 2 species